rnacentral:tRNA from 1 species
GCAGGUAACAGCCGAGCUAAUGUGUGGCUUCUAACUACACAAAGAGAGGUUUAACUCCUUUCGUAACCU